CUCGCGCUGGGUUGGGGGAACCGGCCUCCCUCAGGCCCCUCCUCUCCUCGGUUCUUGUUUGGCAAACCAGGUAGUCUUUCACCGGUUCCCAACGCCCUGGGGAGGAUUUCAAAACGCAAAAAAAUAAGAGCACUUGGCUCUCUCCGAGUUCGAGACCAGCCUGGUCUACAAGAGCUACUUCCAGGACAGCCUCCAAAGCCACAGAGAAACCCUAUCUGGAUGCUCCCCACCCCAAAAAAAGAGCACUUACAGAGCUUGAAGACUUGAGUUUGAAUCCUUAGUAGCUACAUAAAGAGGAAGGAUUUGUCCUGCGCGAUAGUCUUGUCAGCAAGAACCACACAGGACAUUCGGAUCCUUCUGCAGUAAAGCUUUAAUGCGUCUUGAGAGGAGAGCAUAAGCUUACCAGAGCGGAGACCCCGAGCCAAGAAUCCCGUCCCCUAAUAAAGGCUGGCAACCGCCGCCUUGGACGUGUUACUCUAUGAUUGGCUGCAGCUCAUCGGACCAUAUGACGCCACGGAAGAGGCAGAGAUCAAGGAAUGGAAAGUUACCCAGCGCCUGCGCGCAUUAACUUGUUUACAUUCGGUGCCUGCCGGAUGCAGGCGCCAUCUUGUAAUGGAGAAUGCAGGGACGGCUCCCUACAAGGAUUGGCUCAAAUAAUAGAGGUAAGGAUGUGAGACAAAGAAAUCAAACAGCUCCAAGUCACAAGGUGGCAUGUGGAGUGGCGAAGUCUGAAUCCAUACAACUUAAUGCCAGGGGCUGUUCUUUUCCCAGUACCAUAUGGUUCCCCACUAAGCUGCCAAUAUGUUCAUCUUUCUUUUCAUCCACUUCCUCUCUUGUUGGAGGUCUAACGCAUGGUCCAUCACCCACACCAGGCAGGCACUAUACCAUCGAGCCACAUCCCCAUCAUGUCUGUCUGUCUUUCUGGUAAUAAGCAUGGAUUAAAUUUGAAGUAAGAGAAAAGGUUGUUUUAACUUUAAAAGCAUUCACAAUAAUUUAAAUAGCCCAAUUCUCAGGGACUGGAAAGAGUGGAGAAAACACUGGGUGUUCUUACAGAGAUCCUCAGUUCAAUUCCCAACAAUGGCAGCUCACAACCAUCUAUAAUGGGAUCUGAUGCCCUCUUCUGUCAUGCAGGCACACAUGCAACUAGAGCACUCAUGUACAAAAGAUAAAUAAAUCUUUUUUUUAAAUAGCCCUUUAUUCACUGAAUAUCAAAACACCUACAUGCCUAAUGUUGAUUUUAAGAAGUAAAUAAUAGCUUUUUUAAAAAGACAAAAUCCUAGCUAGGCAGUGGUGACGCAUGCUUUUAAACCCGGCACUCAAGAGUUAGAGGCAGCAGAUCUUUAUGAGUUUGAGCUCAGCCUGGUCUACAGAAUGAGUUUCAGGACAGCCAGAGC
rnacentral:lncRNA from 1 species